UAGGGAAUAUUGGGCAAUGCUCGCAAGAGUGACCCAGCCAUGCCGCGUGCAGGAAGAAGGCCUUCUGGGUUGUAAACUGCUUUUGGAAGGGAACAAAAUGGGCAUGCGUGCCAACUUGAGUGUACCUUCAGAAUAAGCACCGGCUAACUCCGUGCCAGCAGCCGCGGUAAUACGGAGGGUGCAAGCGUUGUCCGGAUUUAUUGGGUUUAAAGGGUGCGUAGGCGGCUUAUUAAGUCAGGGGUGAAAGACUAUUGCUUAACAAUGGCAGUGCCUUUGAUACUGAUAGGCUUGAGUACAGCUGAGGCAGAUGGAACGGGUGGUGUAGCGGUGAAAUGCAUAGAUACCAUCCAGAACACCGAUUGCGAAGGCAGUCUGCUAAACUGUAACUGACACUGAGGCACGAAAGCGUGGGGAUCGAACAG
rnacentral:rRNA from 1 species